CCCAGGAUUCAUUCCUGCUCCAUCCUAUUCUAGCUGUGGGACUUGGAGGCUGACGCUUGUGCUUGCCCUGGCAACCCUGAUAGCUGCCUUUGGGUCAUCCUUCCAGUAUGGGUACAACGUGGCUGCUGUCAACUCCCCAGCACUGCUCAUGCAACAAUUUUACAAUGAGACUUACUAUGGUAGGACCGGUGAAUUCAUGGAAGACUUCCCCUUGACGUUGCUGUGGUCUGUAACCGUGUCCAUGUUUCCAUUUGGA
rnacentral:lncRNA from 1 species